AUGCUAGGAGUAAAGAGAAGAAAGUAAACCGACUCCUCCGCAGACUCCUUUAGACAGUCUUCAAAGCGGUGCUCCGAAUUAGACCGUCUUAACAGAGCAAGGAGAGAACAGAUUUAUACACAGGCUAAUUAAGAACCAGACUCUACCCAACCAGAUUUUUCAUAUAUGAUUGAAAAAGUCCACCAUCUCUAGUAUUAUGGAUCAGUUAUUAAACUUGUUAACAUCAGGAAUUAAUCCUAAUUCAUGGAUUUUAAAGUCUACCUCUGAUAAAUGCCUAAGGAAGAGUCCAAGACCAAGCCAAUAUCCACCUACACCUUCAGGGCAACAUUCACGUUGGCCAUUGCAGAAAACUACAACUCCCGCUUAUCCCAUCCCUCCCUCCCCCAGCCAGGCCAGAAAGAGGCACCACCGUCGAACUUGAAUGAAUAGAUUAAAAAAUGUAGGAAUUUACCUGUCAAGUUUGGGAUUAUCUUGUCUUUCUCUUUGUUGUUCAAAUCUCAGUUUUAAUCCUUUAAAUGUCUGUACAUAAUCUACGUCUUCCAGCGCUUUCCAGUAAUUUUCAAUUACAUGAGCAGUUAAUGAUUUUAUAUCUUCCUACAGAAAAGAAUUAUAGUGAUGAAAACAUACAAUAGGAAAAUGUUACUUUUGCUGAGAGGAGGCUUAAUUGUAGAGAAUUCAAUAACCUGCCCCAAACAGAUGAACUUCAUAAAAUUAUAAGCCAGUCUUAAUCAAAUGCUGAAAAUGGGCAUAACUGGCUAUGCUACGUACCAAAGUGUCUCUGAUUUUUGGUGUAUCUCAGAAUUAACGGGUCUUCCCCAAGUAAAUGCCCAGGUCCCACCCCAGAUGAUUCUUAAAUUUAAGUGUGGGGUGGGAUCAGCACAUCACAGAAAAGUGCUAGAGACAGAUGGUGGUGAUGGUUGCACAACAGUGUGAACGCACUUAAUGCCGAUGAAUUGUACACUUUUUAAAAAGGCAAAUUUUGGGGGUUUCUGAGCGGCUCAGUUGGUUUCAACUCAGGUCAUGAGCUGCGCGCAUGCUCAAAUAUUUUUUUUAAGAAGGCAAAUUCACAUUAUGUUUCACCAUAAUUUUAAAGCAUGUCACAGAUAAUUCUAACACACUGUUUGAGAACCACUAGUCUACUCUAUUACUAAAGAUUCAGAAGUCUGUAAUGAAAUUAUUCUUUAAAUUUUUUUUAACGUUUAUUUUUGAGAAACAGAAACCAAGCACGAGUGGAUGGGGGCAGAGAGGGAGGGAGACACAGAAUCCGAAGCAGGCUCCCAGGCUCUGAGCUGUCAGCACAGAGUCCAACGUGGGGCUCAAACCCACGAACUGUGAGAUCAUGACCUGAGCUGACGUCGACACUUAACCAACUGAGCCACCCAGGCACCCCUGAAAUUGUUCUUUGAAAGUAUAUGGGGAAAAGUCACAAUUCAGAAGCCCUCAAAGUUUUGAUGUGGUUUUUGUUAAUUCUACUUUCUUAAAAUGAUUACCAUGACAGUGUUAAAUCAGUCGUCAAACUAUCCUGUAAAGGAUUCACAGCUGCUGAGAGACUGUAUUACUUUGAACUGAAUCCCUUACAAGCUUCCGGUUACAUGGGUUUUCUUUUUAAAAUUUUCUCCAAGUAUAACCUCAAGCCACAAUAUCAAUAAUGCAUAUUCAGUAUUCUCAAUUAAAACCAAAAUUCUAACUGGAAAAUACAGAACCUACCACUCUAAUAAAUUCAAACAUCUCUAUAAUGGCAGAGUUCAUCAGAUUGUAGCGGGAUCCGUUGUUGAGAAACGCUUUGACAACUGGUUCGAACAAAAAACUUUUCAUUAUGUAGCGGUUGUAAAACUCAUCUUUCAAUCCAAUAAUCUUUCUCUUAAAACGAAGAGCACCUGAAACACAGAGGCAUCGUUCAAAUUAUAUACCCCACUUCCAUAUUUUAGAUUAAAAAAAAAAAACCUGUGUAAUAAAUAAUUCUUCGUGCAGUGUUAGGUUACCGCUUCCAGAAGUAUGUACCUAAGGAACAGGGAAUCACAAAAGGGCUACCAGCAAAACGUAUUCUGGAAAUAGUGUAUGUCAUGAUAGAACACAAGUCUCAGAGAGUGGAAAAAUUCUGGAACCUACUAAUGACCAAAAUGUACUUCACAUCUAAAAUAAGAGCUAAAACAGGGCUGACAAAUGAAUUAAGCUUUAUACUAAAGAUGAGAAAAUUCUAAAUAUGUCCUUCUACAGUCACCUUGAAAACAACAGAAAAACCAUUGUUUUAUUAGGGCAAUCCACGUAUAAUUUGAUAUUCAUUAUUUUUGGACACUCUUACUAUUCUGCAUCAGCGUUCUGGGUUUAUGAUGGUUGAUCUGUCAAUGUGUCAGGAGAACUACUAUAAACCCACAAAACUCUGCAUGACCCAUAACUUGCCUUCCCAUAAUUUUGAAAUAAAUUUAGAGAAUGUUGCUUUUAAAACGUGGUCCUCUAGGCUUAUUGCAGCGAGUAUGCUUUUUAACUUUUUUUCCUAAUUUUCCUUUUUACAAUUAAUUAGGCUUUAACUUACAGAUUAAAAGGUAUAUUUACAUCUUGAGGUAUGGGGAGUUACUUAAGUCACCAUUCGUCAAGAUCCAAAUAUACUCAGACAGCUAGACAAACCCUCUUUACCUAAAUGGAGUUUAUCAGUAAGUUAAUGCCCCAGUUAUUGUAAACAGUUCAAAAAAGCAUACUCACUUCAUGCAGUCACAUCGUCUUCGGUUGGCAAGAUUAAUUAUUGUGUUUGUAUUUUGGUUUCUUUGGAGAUCAUGGAAGUGGCUCGUUAAAUUGCCAAUUUGUUAUUAAUCAAGUCCUUCAUGAGCAGGUAGCCAGGCAACCAUGCUGACACGGUUUCUGGGUGGGAAGGCAGAGGAGUAAAGCAGCUCAAUUUUUCUUUAGUUGGCAGAAAAGAGGUCCACAAGUGAAUGCCCAUUUAGGUACAAGCUGGUUAUAAACUGCCUUAACAAUGCAACUUAUUGAAGAGUGUCUCUUUCUAAAGUGACACUCUGGGCAGGGAAUUUCAAAAUAAUUUAUAGAAGAGUAAUUGCAUUUUUUUCCAACUACUGAAUUAUUUUCAAAUACAAGAAGCAUGGUGAAAUUAAGACAUUUUAAACAGUAAGAGGCACCUGUGUGUUAAGUCAAGCCUAACAAGGGUUUAUUUUCCCAAAACAGUGAUUUUAGAGUUUGGUUUUUUUGUGAUGUCACUUGACAAAGGAACUUCGUGAGGCAGUUCCAUUUGUCAGAAUAAAAAACAAUCCAUUGGAGCUCAGGCCAGAUGUUCAGUUUUUAGUAAUUAAGGCACGAGCUAUUGUUUCAAGAAUUCAUACUCUGAACUCUGCAGGCUUUGUGGAGACUUGUGUCCUACCAUCACACACGCUAGCUGCACCCUGUGGUCUGCGUGCGGUUCCUAGGUAAUUGGUAAGAAACUCCCUUCCUAGAAUUCACUAAGACCGAGGUGUGCAGUGGGACCACUAUUUCCUCAAGAGCAGUUCUGUCCAGAAACUGCUGGUGUAGAUGGAAGACGGUUCUACUGGUCUUGGUUUUGUUCUUCCUUUCCAUUUGCCCUCAUUUAUUUAUAUCCAGAAGUGGGUCACGUCCACUCAAAGUCUUCCCCGAAAGCAAACCUGCAUCAAGAGUAUCCAACCACUACUUGCCGUUGAAUAAAGGUUGCUUUCAAAAAUUUACCAGUGAGUUCUAUCAAGUCAAGUUGCUCAGAGUAAAUUAGAGAAAGCUUCUGGGAGAGGCCACAGUGGCAUAACUGGAGGACUUUCGAUGUAAAGUGCACUCUGCUUCCAUGCUUCCCUCUAAACUUUCUCAACAUUCCAGGAAUCUCUGGUGCUUCAUUUCAAUCGUCUCUAAAGUCAUUCCUCUUUACCUCACACAACAGGAGAUUUCGUGUCACAAGUUGAGACGACUUGCCUCAUAUGUAACUAAUGAUGGCCAAAUAAAGCAUCUACAGUAACAUUUUUAUUUCAUUCCUUUUAUAGAUGUCCACAUUUUUAACAAAAAAACUAGACAUGAACCCUGAAAAACCAAGGAAAUGAAGACUGCUAAAACUGCUCUAUGUAUAUAUCUAACCUAUAAAGGCCUAAAUUGUGAAAGGACUGCUGGUCUCCCCUACAGAACCGAUUUGUUGGCUUUAGGAUAAAAGCCUUCUAAUAAGCAGUGGAUAUUUAAAAAAAAAAAAAAAAAAAAAAAGGCAAGUUCGGUGAAGUUCCCAACUUGUUUACAUUUAACCACUCAUUCAUUACCUGCUGUCCUUAUAAUGUGGCAUCUAAAUUCACCUGUAAUGAACACUGUACCUAACGUUUUCUUUCAAUGUGAUGUUAGCAGACUGAAAACGUUCUACCUCUCCUCAAAUUUAUACUUCGUUCUUUAAGAAAUCCUCGAUCAAAAACUCCUACUCUAUACUCUACAGCCAGUCCUCGAGUGCUUAUUCCUUAUGACUGGCAUCCUCUUCCAGAAACUACUCAUGUUCUCAAUCUGGGAAGACAGCCACACGGAGAAUAAUGUGAGAGUGAGUUAGGUUUAAUGCUAACUCCGUUUGGAAAACGCAAAGAAUAAAGCAUAACUAAGAUUUUCCUCCAAUAUAAACCUUCCCUGAAAUGAAAUCUCUUCAUAGUUCUCAUUAAAUGUUGAGACCUUUUCUUGAUGAUACUGCAAGCAAAAUAAUGAGAUCAAGAACUGCGAGCCAAAAGCCUUUUUUAUCCCUCUCCUGCCACUCUCCCGCUGGACUCGUGUGUUCUACCUACCCCAGACCGUUGACAUGCCACACUUUCCCCACAUCUGCACGUUAGCUGUGUGUUCAGCCAAGCAUGUCGCAUUCUCCCAUGACCAAUACAACCCAGUUGACCUCUUUUGCAAAAUUUUCCUGAUCUGACUCAUUCGUGGAGAAUAAAUUCUUUCCACUAUGCUUCCAAACACACCUCAAUAUAGUACUUAGGGCAUUGUAUUUUGAUUUUUACAGGACUAUCUCCUAAUGAACUCUGAUCCCUUUGACAGCUGAGUCCAGGUCUUAAUCAUCUUCAUUUUCUUUGUACCAGGUAUUUAGCAUACUUCAUCAAGUCUAAGAUGCCACUGAUUACAAGAAACUUUUUCUACUCUAAGAAAACCAAACCAACCAAACUAUCAUUCACAACAACAUGCCAUUAAUUUUAAGACUCACCUUGAUCUCACAGAUGACAAAUGUCUAAAAUGCAGAGCUUAGUACUGACAAAAUAGGAUAGUAGGUACUUGAUACAUUUAUUGAAAUAAAUGAUCAACAUACUCAUUUAUUUAGUUUUUCCAUUCUGUCCUAAACUGCCUUUCCCCGCACUUGAACAAAACCUUCUAUUUUAACACGAAAGAAGUGUUCAUUAUGAAUUCACUCUCAAUUUAGUCAGGGGGCUCUCACUUUUGCUGUGGUUGGUAUAGAAGGAAAGUGAAGGAGUUUAAAAAGCCCUUCUUUUGCAAAUGCUGAGCUCAUGGAUAGUACAUUAGUAAGGCAGGACUGAAAUAAUGCAUUUGUUUUUUUUGUUGUCCCAUUUAUUUUUUUGUUGUUCUUAGCAGUCUAGAUUAAUGCCACACAUGCUCCGUGUUACCUUUGGCUGAAAAAGUUUACCAAGGGUAGCAUCAAAGUUUCUGGACAAUCAACAGAAACUAAUUUUACUAAAUACCUGAAAGUUGAAAAAUGAAAAUAUACUAUGACUACAUGUAGUCUCAGUCCAUACUGCUGUGUGUACAUUGGCCCGAAAAUCUAAGUCAACUAUAGCGGUUACCCUGAUAAAAAUGUUUAAUGUUUUUAGAAGGAAAUCUACUUCUACUUACUUUUUU